GUCGUUCAUUCACUAGUGUAGGUAGUAACGUGGGUUAGAAUAGACUUGCGUAAUGUGUGGAGCAAGUAGUGUUUUUGUGGUCAUUAAAGGUGUGUAGGAAGGAAUUAUGCUUAACCUCCAAUACUGGGACACAUUUUUACGAGAAAUGUUUGAUUAAAUAUUGUUAAGUGGUGUAUGGAUGUCGCAAGAUCAAUGGCCACAAAAUUAAUGGCGUGGUCAUCACUAUUUUAAUUUAAUAAAUUUCUUUAGUUGUAUAAAAUCGCCAAAUACUAGCAGACGCGUCUUAGUACGGAAGGGAUUAAAUAAGAGUCGCUUUACUGUAGAACUCCUUAAGUUGUAUUGAUGCUAAUCCGUUUCAAUAUUGUCAUCGUGGUUCCCUCGUUAUAGGUCUAAUCGGCAAAAAGAAGUAGACAAGGUUUCUUUAUCGUAACGAUGCUGCUUCAAGUUAUGUGCAUUAGAAGAGAUAUAACCAUGAAAGUAGUUGUGGUGAGUGAGAGGACUGGACUCGUGCUGAAGUUAGUAUAACGAGGGUGAGGUAAACCACUGAGGAUUCAUUAUUAGAGUAGAAUGCGUAGUAAUGAAGCAAAUUCGAUCUUAAGUGGUAGUUAAGUGAACGGACGACUUUUAAUCAGGACGUAUCACUGUUGUAAACAGCUCCGCUGUUCAUGACAACGACUGCGAGUAUGUUGUGGAUAGGAAAGUGGCAUGAAAAGGACGAUAAUGGUGGAUAUGUGGAAUAAGUUCAAGUAAAUGGAGGGAAAGGUUCUCGAGAGAAGGAGGGAGUGGUUUAAGUUGUGUGGGGGAUGAGAAUGGCUAGGAGGAAUCAAAAGUGAACGUGAAUGGAUCGUAGCAUAAGAGGCAGUGGGAACUGAAUGCAAUGCGAUAAUAUGGAGAAACAGAAGAGAUGGUGUGGGGCGAGUGUUUGUGAGCGAGUUAGGGCACAAUAUGUAUUAGUCAAGACGUGAAGGAAAUGGGUGGUCUUGGUGGCAAGACUGUGUAGACGAGUGAAAGGCUAAUUGAGGCAGUGAAGGAGUUUUAAGACGAUGUGAUUAGUGAACAAAGAUACUGCUGUUCAUGUAUGUUUUUUGUCCAUUACAGGAGUUGACGAUCCAAAGGCCUGACUCCACAGCGAUAGUGAGCCUCCUCUACCAUCAAGGAAACUUUAUCUUGCACUACACCUUCACUGACAACGUUCACUACCAACACCUUUGCUUCGCCACCGCCUCAAGAUUGGGAAAGGCACUGCUUUGCAUCGCGCCCACACACACAGUAUACUCUAACGCCGCCGCUCAGAUGAUGGCUAGGUGGGUGAUAGAGGCAGGUGGUGUGGAGGCGGCCUGGCGACGAGAAACCGCAGAUGACGGCAGACACGGAAGAUUAAACUAACCAGAUGGGAGGAUCCAAAGGUCUGAUUGCAGCGAUCCUGCAUCAUCACGGAGGGACACUUGGCUUUGCACGACGCCUUCACUAACCCUCCCUCCAUCACCCAACCAACACCGCCGCCGCUACUGCCACUCGGGGGGAGAGGCUGCCUCGCUUGGGGCCUUCAUUUCCGUCCCGCUAACGCAUGCCGCCGCCGCCACUCCUGCCAUUAAGGGAUUCCGCCUCGCAGCGGCCCAGCAAACACCUGCUACCGCCGCCGCCGCCGCCGCCGCAGCAGCAGCAGCAAGAAAGAUUCUGCAUGGCACCUUGACCCUGCGUGGCCAUCACGUACUGGUACUCUGGUGGUGGUGGUCGUGUCCAGGGAGGGAAUAGUUGUGGUUGGCGUGGGAGUCUUCCCUCAGUGUGGAUGGUGUAUGUACUUAGACAGCUGUGGUGUUGUGGUGCCCUUACUCCAUUGUAAUAAACUGUCUUCACUGCCUCAUUGUGUCUUCACUGUACUAAUAAGAGCUGUUGUCACUAUUGAAUAAUAAAUUAUGAAAGAAAU